rnacentral:tRNA from 1 species
GGGAAAGUAGCUCAGUGGUAGAGUGCAUGCCUUGCAAGCAUGAGGCCCUGGGUGCCUGUAUUGUAUGGAAUUAUAUUGUACUG